rnacentral:lncRNA from 1 species
CUUAUUUGGUCCUCGGACCUUGAGUUUGACACCGGAUGUAGAUAGACGAUGUAUAUUCUUGCACAUUUAUCUACAAAUCUUAAUCUUUUCUAAUGAUUCCAGGAUGCAGAAGAGGAAGAACCUAUAAUUGAAGAUGAUAAGGAAGAGGAGGAUGGUUCUCAUUCUUCUGCUAAAGAGGACAACCUCCCUUCUGUUCCUGUCCGACCUCAUAAAGGAACCCUCUCAGAUUACCCAUACUGCAUCACACCACAACAAAUAGUAGGCUUGGAACACUUUUAAACAACAUUCACUGUAAAAAAAAACAGUUGUCCGAAUGGUGUUUUCUCUUUUGUCUUCUAACUCUUAAGGUGAUUCCAGCAAAGAGCAGUCGAGUUAUUCACGCGUCUUUCACUCCUUUGACUCUCUCCGGGUCUUCUGCUGAGUCCAGAUGUGUAGGUUUGGCUCUGGGUUUUAUGAGCCUGGACUCUAAGGUAACACGGUCAUUGCUACAGUUUGUGUAAAUCCUGCUAAUCUUGACCCUUUUUACAAUCUAUUUUCACUUUUUAUUUGCUCAUGUGUGUUGCAGAUGGAUGCUUGUGUCCCGGGUAAAGUUAAAAGGCCUCAAGGUUUGGAUUUAGAGCCUAUCAAGAUGGAUCUACAAGCAGUCGUUAGGAAUGCAAUGUGAGCAAUUACCUGUGUGUCAUUCAUACCCCUCCAACUUAAUUUACGUUUCCUGGAUUAAAAAAGGAUGAGAUGAGGUGAAAUAAGUUUGGAGGUUGUCUGAUUAAGCUAUAGCUCUCCUCUUUUACGCUGCAGGCUGUUAGUGCAUAUGGAAGAGGACGAUGGGGUGUUGGAGUUUAGAGCCACGGCUGGUGAUUUACUGACGACGAAACCAGACAAGGAGUUAAUCGUGAGAGAAUUUGACACCACACAGAGUUUUCAGUUGAAAAACACUUUAGAAACGUCCGUGCAAUUCCGACUGAGGACUCAGCCCCCGUUCUCAGUUGUCAAGUGGAGGCUCGGAACCAGAAUCAGAACCAGCUCCUCAAAAGUUCCUUUACCAGUUGAUAAACAUCCAGUGGUGCUUAAAGCCCACCACAGCAUGCAGGUGAAAGUGGCGUUUAGCUGCUCCCUGGCCCUACUGGACCUCACAGACAAGACUGAGGAGGAAAUGCCACCAGGGGUGACGUUGAUGCACUGUGCAAAUGGACAGAAGAGGCUCAAGUUCCAACAAAAUCUCCAGAUCUGCUACAGUAACAACAAUCAGCAGGUAAAGAGACUGACACACAAACGCUUAGGGUUGGGGUGAAAUUACAUUUUUCAUUUACAAUUACAAUUACGUCUUCAGUUAUCCAUGUUCAAUUACAACUCACUUAUGAUUAUGGUGACUUUUUAAUUUUUUUAUUUACAACUAAAAUUAUAAUUAUUAUUUUUCUCCUGAAAGUAAAAGACAAUUAUCUUCUCCAUUAUUAAAGUUAAAUUACAAUGAAUCACAAUUACUGAUCCUGAAAGAAAUAAUG